rnacentral:misc_RNA from 1 species
CUGGGAAAUAAAGUUAAUAACAUCAAAUGAUCUUUGGCAAUAGCAAUGUUAGCCGCAGAAAUAGCAAGUCCUCUUAUUUUUCUUUGACAAGAAACAUCUACCUUGUUUCUGUUCUAUUCUUUUAUUUGAAAAAAAAAAAAUGUUUGCCUCACUUUCGAGCAAGGAUUCUAAAUAAUUGUCAAGGACAAGCAACAUGAUCGCAUCAUAACCUCACGCUCACACGUUACCUCCUUCCUUGCAUCCUUUCUCUGAAAGCUGUCAUGAAAAAGGCUGUAGGAUUUAGAAUCUUCACUACCCUGCCCAGAACAAAGCCAUUGUAGAGGCAGUGGCUCCGCCUGAGUCCAUACCCAUGACAAAUGAAAACUGAAAAGCACGUGCCUAAGUUGAUUAAUUCUCCGGCAAAACGGCACCAUCUUCUAAAGAAACAGAACACACAUCACAACCAAUUCCAUAUUGUCUACAAAACAAUGUAAAUAACCUUAAAUAGUAAUCGGAUUGAAAAUGCUGGGGGAAAACAAUCAUCACUGCAAACUUGGAGCGUUUAGUUGUAACACUGAUUAACCUCUCUUACAAGCUUAUCCAUAAAUUGGCAUUUCUUGUCAAAUCCCCAGCCAGGGUUGCUCUGAAGAGAAAGAACUGCACGAUCAGCAAACUGCUUUACAGAAGAAGGUGCACUUGCAGGAAUAGUUUUAGCCACUCUUUCUAACUCUUCUUGUUGUCUCUUUGCUGUAACCCUAUCAGGUCCACUGUAAUAAUCAACUAUCUCUUUCAAUAAUGGGACAUUCUUCAUUGUUUCUUCAAUUACCUCCUCCCAUUCUUCUUGACUUUGGAUUCCUUCAUAUGCCAUUAUGAAUGGCUUCACCUUCUCCAGCACAUCCCGAAGAGGCAUAGGCGGCUUCUCAUUAAUAUCUGGGUUUUGAUCAAACUCCCCCAUCAAGUACUCAGGCUCAAACUCAAUCAUAUAAUUCGUAUGCAAGGCAUCCAAAUAGGCAUCUUCCAUAGGCGAAGGCAGUAUUCUCCCACUCAUCUCUUCAAACCCUUCAGUCAAUUUGUUCAUGUUCUCAACACCAACCCUUUUCGACAGUUUCUCCCCAUCAGCAUUGUCCCCCAAGAAGAGCCCUGCUGCGUACCCUUCCUCCGAAUCUUCCAUCCUCUCUCUUUGCUCCAAACGCCCCCUCCCCCUUCCCCUACCUCUACCUCUUCCUCUGCCUCUACCUCUACCCCCACCCAUUCCCCCUCGCGCCUGCAAAGGCUCAGCUUCCCUGUCUCUUACAUCGCCCUCGCGGCUAAUUUUAGGCUGGACCCGGCCCUGAGACGGCUCAGCUUCUUCUCCAAUGGUCCUGGGCUUAGGUGUGCGACGUAACCGGAGAUGCCGGUUCUCUUCCUUCUGCGGAGUAGACACGGCAGGCUGAUCCGGUUUCCCCCGACCAACGCCAGAUAGUGCGGAUUGUAUGCUGGAUGGCAGAUUUGGCUCUUCUGACUGAGUGAACUGCGCCUUAUUACGAGGUACUGACUGAGUGAACUGCGUACUGCGUCUUAGGAGGUACUGACUCGCGCUGUGACUCAUUGGGUCUACUCAGUUCUGGUUCGAUAUUGCCUCUGCCUCGGCCACGUCCCGAGCCGGAUUGAGAGGCUUUUAACGACGAUAUGAAGGAAGAAAAGGCAGGGAGAAUUGGAGAAGAAGGAAUAGGUAUGCCACGGCCAUGACCAAAUCCACCUGGCGUUAGUUCUGGGGAGUCAGGUUUAGAAUCAUCAGAGUCAGGCUUGCCCGGUGUUCUUGCACUGAAAUCGAACUGACCAGGACCGCCACCACCGCCGCGGCCACGGCCGCGACCGGAGGAGCCUGAGGAAGUGGAGAAAGGAGAAGAUGACACAAAAAAAGGCGCGUCCAGUGGAGGGAUUAAAGAUUACAUUUGAGAAUCGUCUUCCAACCGGGUUUCCUCUCAUUUGGAUCGACGUUCUCUGAAGUAAUG